rnacentral:tRNA from 1 species
GGACAUUUAGCUCAGUAGGAUAGAGCAAACCGGCUCAUAACCGGUCGUUCCUGGGUUCAAGUCCCAGGAUGUCCA